rnacentral:tRNA from 1 species
UGGAUUCCCGCCCCAAUCCAAAAUUCUUUUAUUGGAUCCGUCGGGACUGACGGGGCUCGAACCCGCAACA